UGCCAGCCGCCGCGGUAAGACGGAGGUGGCAAACGUUGCUCGGAAUCACUGGGCUUAAAGGGCGUGUAGGCUGCUGACUAAGUCGGAUGUGAAAGCCCUCGGCUUAACCGAGGAAUUGCAUUCGAAACUGGUCAGCUAGAGUGCGGGAGGGGUAAGUGGAACUCCAGGUGUAGCGGUGAAAUGCGUAGAUAUCGGAAGGAACACCAGUGGCGAAGGCGACUUCCUGGGCCAAUACUGACGCUGAGGUGCGAAAGCGUGGGGAGCAAACAGGAUUAGAUA
rnacentral:rRNA from 1 species